rnacentral:SRP_RNA from 1 species
CGCCGGGAACUGCGCGACGCGAGCCCAGCAAACUCCGCCAGGGCCGGAAGGCAGCAACGGUAAGCCGGUGUAAGCGGGCGACGCAAUCUUCCCGGCGUUC